AAUGGUAGCUAUACACUCUUGUGCUUAUGCUCAUGCUCCUGUGAGAUUUCACAAGCUAAGUAGGAAUGGAUCAGGUUAGUACUUGGAUGGGAGACCUCUUUUAAAAACUGUAGGUUCUUUG
rnacentral:rRNA from 1 species